rfam:Oleiphilus sp. HI0009 HI0009_c34, whole genome shotgun sequence.
CGGAGCAUAGCUCAGCUUGAUUAGAGCGCUCGGUUUGGGACCGAGAGGUCGAAGGUUUGAAUCCUUCUGUUCCGA